rnacentral:rRNA from 1 species
GCGAACGCACCUUCGGGUGUUAUUAGAGUGGCGGACGGGUGAGUAACACGUGGGAACAUGCCUUUCGGUACGGAACAACGCUUGGAAACGAGUGCUAAUACCGUAUACGCCCUUAGGGGGAAAGAUUUAUCGCCGAAAGAUUGGCCCGCGCUAGAUUAGCUAGUUGGUAAGGUAAUGGCUUACCAAGGCGACGAUCUAUAGCUGGUUUGAGAGGAUGAUCAGCCACACUGGGACUGAGACACGGCCCAGACUCCUACGGGAGGCAGCAGUGGGGAAUAUUGGACAAUGGGGGCAACCCUGAUCCAGCGAUGCCGCGUGAGUGAUGAAGGCCUUAGGGUUGUAAAACUCUUUCAGAUGGGAUGAUAAUGACAGUACCAUCAGAAGAAGCUCCGGCUAACUCCGUGCCAGCAGCCGCGGUAAUACGGAGGGAGCUAGCGUUGUUCGGAAUUACUGGGCGUAAAGCGCGCGUAGGCGGCUUUGCAAGUAGGGGGUGAAAUCCCGGGGCUUAACCCCGGAACUGCCCUCUAAACUGCAGAGCUAGAAUCCUGGAGAGGUGAGUGGAAUUCCUAGUGUAGAGGUGAAAUUCGUAGAUAUUAGGAAGAACACCAGUGGCGAAGG